GGUACAAAUCGUACAGUUGCAAAUGACAACCGUGCUCCGGCAAUGGCUUUGGCAGCGUAAGCUGCUUAAGUCGCCGAACUUAAGUCCUUGCGCCUAGCAGUGUAAGGCGGGGCCCGCCGGAGCCUGGCAACAGAAUCCGGCACC
rnacentral:tmRNA from 1 species